GGGAUAAGCUUCAUCGUCGAGAGGGAAACAGCCCGGAUCACCAGCUAAGGCCCCUAAAUGACCGCUCAGUGAUAAAGGAGGUGGGGGUGCAAAGACAGCCAGGAGGUUUGCCUAGAAGCAGCCACCCUUUAAAGAGUGCGUUAUAGCUCACUGAUCGAGCGCCCUUGCGCUGAAGAUGAACGGGGCUAAGCGAUCUGCCGAAGCUGUGGGAUGUCAAAAUGCAUCGGUAGGGGAGCGUUCCGCCUUAGAGGGAAGCAACCGCGAAAGCGGGGGUCGACGAAGCGGAAGC
rnacentral:ncRNA from 1 species